rnacentral:SRP_RNA from 1 species
AGCCGGGUCCCGCGCAACGGACGGUCGUGAACCCCGUCAGGCCCGGAAGGGAGCAGCGGUAAUGGCCUCAGCCGUGUGCCGCGGGGGUGCCUGGCUGUC